GACGAACGCUGGCGGCGUGCUUAACACAUGCAAGUCGAGCGAGGCUCAUCCGGUGGUAACACUGGAGAAGGCCUAGCGGCGAACGGGUGAGUAACACGUGAGCAACCUGUCCCGAAGACCGGGAUAACACCGGGAAACCGGUGCUAAUACCGGAUACCCCCAUUGGAUCGCAUGGUCCGAUGAGGAAAUGGAUUCCGCUUCGGGAGGGGCUCGCGGGCUAUCAGCUUGUUGGUGAGGUAACGGCUCACCAAGGCGACGACGGCUAGCUGGUCUGAGA
rnacentral:rRNA from 1 species